GACGAACGCUGGCGGCGUGCCUAAUACAUGCAAGUAGAACGCUGAAGAGAGGAGCUUGCUCUUCUUGGAUGAGUUGCGAACGGGUGAGUAACGCGUAGGUAACCUGCCUUGUAGCGGGGGAUAACUAUUGGAAACGAUAGCUAAUACCGCAUAACAAUGGAUGACACAUGUCAUUUAUUUGAAAGGGGCAAUUGCUCCACUACAAGAUGGACCUGCGUUGUAUUAGCUAGUAGGUGAGGUAAUGGCUCACCUAGGCGACGAUACAUAGCCGACCUGAGAGGGUGAUCGGCCACACUGGGACUGAAACACGGCCCAGACUCCUACGGGAGGCAGCAGUAGGGAAUCUUCGGCAAUGGGGGCAACCCUGACCGAGCAACGCCGCGUGAGUGAAGAAGGUUGUCGGAUCGUAAAGCUCUGUUGUAAGUCAAGAACGGGUGUGAGAGUGGAAAGUUCACACUGUGACGGUAGCUUACCAGAAAGGGACGGCUAACUACGUG
rnacentral:rRNA from 1 species